rnacentral:lncRNA from 1 species
AAUAAUAUUGUAACCGGAGAGCACGAAUUUCAUUACAAAAUUGCUUGUCUCCACCGGGACUCGAACCCGGGACCUCUGUGUUACAAGGCAGCGCGCUAACCGACUGAGCUAAAGAAGUACUUCCUUAGCUCAACCGCUUACGGCUGACUAAGUAUCUACUAAGUUUUCUAAGGGAAGCAAUCCCGUCACACUUCCCCCACCUCAAGAGUCAUUAUACUCUAUAAUGAUGAUAUUUUCAUCUUUUUUAUAUUUAUAUUUUAACCUGGCUAGGUAAUUCUUCUAACCGUGGGUUGUUAUUGUUGGGCGCCAAUGUAACCGGAGAGCACGAAUUUCAUUACAAAAUUGCUUGUCUCCACCGGGACACGAACCCGGGACCUCUGUGUUACAAGGCAGCGCGCUAACCGACUGAGCUAAAGAAGUACUUCCUUAGCUCAACCGCUUACGGCUGACUAAGUAUCUACUAAGUUUUUCUAAGGGAAGCAAUCCCGUCACAAUAU